rnacentral:lncRNA from 1 species
AGCUUCCUUUUUGCAUAAAGAGUCUGGGGGUCCUGAAAUUUUUAGAUUUUCCUUUACAGUGGAAUAACUUCAGGUAUCAGCUUGUCAGAUGAAUCUGAGGAAAACUCAAGGAAUAAAGACAAAAUGUGAGUAAAACUUAUGGCUUUCCUCCUGGUUAAAACCCCAAGUAUAAUAUGUGUACAUAAUAUUUUAUCACUUACUGAGUUGUUUUAAUGAGCAAAGGAACCUUCUUUUGCAAGUCGUCACUCAGAAAGUGACAUAAGACUCCAGUGUAUUUGUUGCUUAAUAAACUUAUCUUCCAGUUCUCUCAUUCUUUCCACCUCCUCUCAAGGUGCGAGCCAGAGUCUCCUCUUCAGGACACUGACUAGUAUAUUGCUUAAGUGUCCAUCUCUCUGCUUGCCUCUGCUUUCCUCUGGCCAAUAAAUGGGUAACUAUUAUGGGACAAGAGUCGAGAAUAUUGGCUUAGAAAAUUUUCUUCCACAGCAACUUCAGCCGUUACAUCCUCAGAAGAAAGAAUUCAACUGAGGGGCAUAAAGCAGAGAAAGAGACUGAGGCAAGCUCCAGAGCAGGAAUGGAAGUUUAUUAAAAAGUCUUUAGAACAGGAAAGAAAGUAAAGAACUCUUGGAAGAGAUCCAACUGGGCGCCUGAAUGUCAAAAAGAGAAAAGAAGAUCCUUUAACCUUGACCCUGGGACAUUAUAGGCUUGCCCCUUUCCUGUGAUUCUUCUUUUCAGGACAUCGGAGUGGUACCUACGACAAAUGGUCAUAGAGGAACGCCUCUCCCAAAGAGCUCCGGAAGAAAAGAGCCCAGUGGUAAACAACCCAUAUACUCUGCAAAAAUAAGUAAACAAAACGUUUGAUAAUGCAUUGAAAUCAUCUUUUUAAAUGAUUUCCUGAGAGAGCAAGAAGUCAAAGAAUGCACAGAAGCUGAAAACAAGAGAAAAAGAAGACACUUGGAAGAUAAUAAAGGCCUAAAGCCAACUUUUCCCUAGGAAGCAUCUGCUCAAUCAUGAUAAUCUCCAGUUUCUGUUUUCAUGGAAGUGCAGAACAUAGGAAAUAGGUAAUAAAAUCAAGGACUACCCAAAAUGAAAGAUUUCACAGAUCUCUUCAUAAAAUUGAUGAAAAUCCUGGAGGGUGAAAUCAACCAAACAGAAGGAUCAGCAAGUAAGCUAAAUUCUCUAAGGUUCCCUGACUAGUAAACACAAUUUGGCUUUUAUAAUCUAUAUUUUCAACCUGCAUUCCUUCUACAUAUAUGGUCAACAAAGAUUUUUAAGUGAUAUCAAAUUGGAAAUACAAUCAGGUGACUGAUAGAAGCCAACAGAAUUCCUCUCCAGAGAACGCAGUCAUAUCCAGGCCUCAAAGAAUUAUCACAGCUGAAGUUCCAAGAAACAUGAGUUCAUGAUAGAAAAUCAUGAAAUAUGUGAGCAUAUAGGGUGAAAUUAAUGAGAGUCAGCCAAAACAAGAUACCAGCAAUAACUAUAAAUAUUGAAAUUAAAUUAAUUAGGAGAAUAUAAAAUUAGCACUUUCUAUGUUUCAAUCAAUAAGAUAUUUACUGAAAUU